rnacentral:rRNA from 1 species
UACGUAGGGAGCAAGCGUUGUCCGGAAUUACUGGGCGUAAAGGGCUCGUAGGUGGUUGAGUAAGUCAGAUGUGAAAUCUCAGGGCCCAACCCUGAGCGUGCAUUUGAUACUGCUCUGACUAGAGUCCGGUAGGGGAGUGCGGAAUUCCUGGUGUAGCGGUGAAAUGCGCAGAUAUCAGGAGGAACACCGACAGCGAAGGCAGCACUCUGGGCCGGUACUGACACUGAGGAGCGAAAGCAUGGGUAGCAAACAGG